AACGCUAGCUACAGGCUUAACACAUGCAAGUCGAGGGGAAACGAUAUUGGAAGCUUGCCUCCGAUAGGCGUCGACCGGCGCACGGGUGAGUAACGCGUAUCCAACCUGCCCAUCACUUGGGAAUAACCUUGCGAAAGUAAGACUAAUGCCCAAUGAUAUCCCACGAAGGCAUCCGAAUGGGAUUAAAGAUUUAUCGGUGAUGGAUGGGGAUGCGUCUGAUUAGCUUGUUGGCGGGGUAACGGCCCACCAAGGCAACGAUCAGUAGGGGUUCUGAGAGGAAGGUCCCCCACAUUGGAACUGAGACACGGUCCAAACUCCUACGGGAGGCAGCAGUGAGGAAUAUUGGUCAAUGGGCGAGAGCCUGAACCAGCCAAGUAGCGUGCAGGAUGACGGCCCUAUGGGUUGUAAACUGCUUUUAUAAGGGAAUAAAGUGGGUCACGUGUGACUUUUUGCAUGUACCUUAUGAAUAAGGACCGGCUAAUUCCGUGCCAGCAGCCGCGGUAGUACGGAAGGUCCGGGCGUUAUCCGGAUUUAUUGGGUUUAAAGGGAGCGUAGGCCGGAGAUUAAGCGUGUUGUGAAAUGUAGAGGCUCAACCUCUGCACUGCAGCGCGAACUGGUCUUCUUGAGUACGCACAACGUGGGCGGAAUUCGUGGUGUAGCGGUGAAAUGCUUAGAUAUCACGAAGAACUCCGAUUG
rnacentral:rRNA from 1 species